rnacentral:rRNA from 1 species
AUAGACCCGAAACCCGGUGAUCUAGCCAUGGGCAGGUUGAAGGUUGGGUAACACUAACUGGAGGACCGAACCGACUAAUGUUGAAAAAUUAGCGGAUGACCUGUGGCUGGGGGUGAAAGGCCAAUCAAACCGGGAGAUAGCUGGUUCUCCCCGAAAGCUAUUUAGGUAGCGCCUCGUGAAUUCAUCUCCGGGGGUAGAGCACUGUUUCGGCUAGGGGGCCAUCCCGGCUUACCAACCCGAUGCAAACUGCGAAUACCGGAGAAUGUUAUCACGGGAGACACACGGCGGGUGCUAACGUCCGUCGUGAAGAGGGAAACAACCCAGACCGCCAGCUAAGGUCCCAAAGUCAUGGUUAAGUGGGAAACGAUGUGGGAAGGCCCAGACAGCCAGGAUGUUGGCUUAGAAGCAGCCAUCAUUUAAAGAAAGCGUAAUAGCUCACUGGUCGAGUCGGCCUGCGCGGAAGAUGUAACGGGGCUAAACCAUGCACCGAAGCUGCGGCAGCGACGCUUAUGCGU